GACGAACCGUGCGAACGUUAUUCGGAAUCAUUGGGCUUAAAGGGCGCGUAGGCGGCGAUAUAAGUUGGACGUGAAAUCCCAUCGGCUCAACCGUGGAAUAGCUCCCAGUACUGUAUCGCUCGAGGGGGAUAGGGGUCUGCGGAACUACCGGUGGAGCGGUGAAAUGUGUUGAUAUCGGUGGGAACGCCAGUGGCGAAAGCGGCAGACUUGACCCUUCCUGACGCCGAGUGCGCGAAAGCUAGGGGAGCAAACGGG
rnacentral:rRNA from 1 species